rnacentral:lncRNA from 1 species
GUUAGAGGCAUAACUUUCUUUUUACUCCUUGGUACUUUUACUCUUGUGAUCUAGCCCACCAUUUAAGCCUGCAAGACUUAGUCACACACGCUAACAGCCAGCUCAGAGUAGAUAAUGAUUUUAGAUCAAAACUCUGUGCAGACCAAAAAAGCAUGGACUGAAAUGGGAGUUAUCAGGACCAAGCCAACUUCAGAUGCCUGAAUGAAAUAGCAAAAAUGGAUUCUCCUCUCUUCUGUGGGCUGCCUACGUGUUACAGUAUCAGUGUGCAUUUCCCACUGUGGACUUCCAGCUUGUUACAGAAUCAGUGUGCACUGGACACUCAAAUACAUGUGAGAUCUCUGCCUCUUAUUUUCAGCUACCCCCAAGUCUCCUAACCGAAGCACCUCCUCCCUGAUGAGGGUGAUCACUGGCUAUAAGCCUGGAGCUCCUAUACCCAGGGUCUGGGAAGCUGCUCUUUCCGGAAGGGUGGUAGAGACCCUGGGAACCAGACCAGCCGGGCUCACAAGUAUGAAGAGAAUGUCGGGAGAGGAAGUGGUGGCUCUGAGUCAGCAUGAGUCAUCUGGUUCCAGUGACAAUGAAGACUGAGGUGUGUGCUCUGCGCUUUUUUCUUGUCUUUUUUUUUUUUUUUUCCUAAUCAUGUGGACAUCUCUGAGAAUGAAGGGACUGGGUGACUUUACAGUGGCUGCUUUCUAAGUUUCAAAGUGACUUUCCAGGCAAGCUGAGCAUAUCUUGGGAUCUUCACAGCACAGUGGCUGGGAAGGCAGACCGUCUAUCAGCUUCUCCCUGAAUAACUGGGAGCUGAAACAGGAAGCCCCAUGACACAGUUGAUCGAAAAUGACACAGACACAGAAAAAUCAGGACGUGCCCCCAGCAGCACCCCUACCUGCUGCCUGCUGAUCGAAGCUGGGAGGCCCGUGAAGGGUUUCCACCAGGAAUGAACUCUAC